rnacentral:rRNA from 1 species
GUGGGGAAUAUUGCACAAUGGGGGAAACCCUGAUGCAGCGACGCCGCGUGAAGGAAGAAGUAUCUCGGUAUGUAAACUUCUAUCAGCAGGGAAGAAGAAUGACGGUACCUGACUAAGAAGCCCCGGCUAACUACGUGCCAGCAGCCGCGGUAAUACGUAGGGGGCAAGCGUUAUCCGGAUUUACUGGGUGUAAAGGGAGCGUAGGCGGCGAUGCAAGUCAGAAGUGAAAGCCCAGGGCUUAACCGUGGGACUGCUUUUGAAACUGUGUUGCUGGAUUGCCGGAGAGGUAAGUGGAAUUCCUAGUGUAGCGGUGAAAUGCGUAGAUAUUAGGAGGAACACCAGUGGCGAAGGCGGCUUACUGGACGGUGAAUGACGCUGAGGCUCGAAAGCGUGGGGAGCAAACAGGA